CUUUUAAUAUUUUGUUGUGGACAUAUGUAUAUUGCUGAUUAAGAACGAUGGUGAAAUCAAAAUUAAGCGGACUAAGUUUCGAAAUUAUAGUUUUUUGAAGUUCUAAUAUUUUGGGGAUAUUAUGUGUUAUGUUAAAUAAGUCUAUAUUGUCCUUAAAGCACAUUUGUCGUGAUCUAAUGAUUUUUUAUGCCUAUAAUUAUCCGAGGUACCGAAUUGAAACCGGUGUGUCAGAAAAAUUGUUUGAAGUUUUUUUUUUCCUUUUUAUCUAAACAAAUAAAAAACAAAUGCGUUUGGAUUUGCCUAAGCCAUCACUCCCUCAGACUAUUUUAAUCACAAAAUACCCCUCGAUUUAUUGUGCAAACUUUACCAGAAAUCUUUCCCAAAUAUAUCAAGUGUAGAUUAUUUUCUUAUAGGAAAUUGUAUCUCCAUGGUAAUUUAGAGAUUUCACUUUUUGAUUUUUCAAAUGGUUUUCAUAAUAUCUG